CUGGCUGGGCUAUGCCAGCAGCCAUCGCCUGAACAAAAAUGUAACCCCGCUUCUCUUCUCCCCUUUCCUCCCCCUCCCCCUCUGCCCCUUCCUCCCCCUAGGACCCCGCUGGGAUUUUUGAACUGGUGGAAGUGGUUGGCAAUGGCACGUACGGGCAAGUCUACAAGUGUGCAGUCAGUGGAACAAACAGAUCUUGAGCUUGCAUGACUUUGCAGCGAGUGCUAGCUACCAGGAUGACUAAUUAUUCGCACAGACUUAAUACUAGGCUAAAGAUUGAAGGCUCUAGCCUUAAACUGUAGAAAUGCAAGAUGCAUUUGGAGAGAGGAGAGAGAUGAAGAUGCUUAGCUGCUUGUUUGGUUUUUCGGUUGCUUUUUUGUUGUUGCUGUUGGUUUUUUUUUCUUAAUGCUUAUAAACAAGGGAGUGUAAUUGGUGAGUUUCCCUGAUGGCAAGAUACUGCUGCUUGCAGCUCCAGUAACUAAAUAAAGCACUUUGGUGCCUCUUCUGCAGAUGAAA